rnacentral:tRNA from 1 species
CCACCCAUAGCUCAGCUGGUAGAGCAGCUCCCUCUUAAGGAGACGGUCGUAGGUCCGAUUCCUACUGGGUGGACCA